GUUGAAGAACCAAGAAGGGUGAGUCUGAUGAAGCAAGACUUUGCUGAUACAUCCCUCCUAGACAAAGGGGUGGGUUUCUUAUUGGAGAAACCCACAGGGUGGACUGUACUACCCAACAUUA